UACGUAGGGGGCUAGCGUUGUCCGGAAUCAUUGGGCGUAAAGAGCGUGUAGGCGGUCCGGUAAGUCCGCUGUGAAAGUCGGGGGCUCAACCCUCGAAUGCCGGUGGAUACUGUCGGGCUAGAGUACGGAAGAGGCGAGUGGAAUUCCCGGUGUAGCGGUGAAAUGCGCAGAUAUCGGGAGGAACACCAAUGGCGAAGGCAGCUCGCUGGGACGGUACUGACGCUGAGACGCGAAAGCGUGGGGAGCAAACAGG
rnacentral:rRNA from 1 species